AGCCCAGGCACACUACUCGUGUGCGUUUCUGGAUUUGCAUUCCAGCGUGAACCACCACAGGGCUUG
rnacentral:tRNA from 1 species